UUCGGUUAUCAUUAAAGUAAAAUGCCCGUUCUCUGGUGAGAGAGGAACCCUAGAUCGCGCUCUCGGGAGGUUGUGGCCUCCGCACUGGCUUGACGUUUAGUCCAAGCACAAACAUAUAUUCUCUUGGAAAAAACAUAAUCGUUGUACCAUUAGUCCAAGCACAAACAGCGAAGUUCUUCUCUCCUCUGCGUGCGACGGCGACUUCCUAACCUUUGCGCUUCAUCUCGUUAGCUGAAACUGUCCGAGUGAUGGUAUGCAAUCAAUUCAUUCACUUUCUCCUCAUCAAUGAAGAUUUCUCGCCUCCCCCAUUAACUGAAGCUACUGUAUAUAUAUGGCGUCAAGGUUCUCAAGAGAAGUUACGUAGCUUUUUCAAACAGAGAAAUUCAUCUCAAGGGAAACAGAGGAGUCGGAGAGCAUCACCGGCGCCGUCUUCUCCCACAUACGGUGGCAAAAUCCAGAUCUUUGAUUGCCUAAAAUCCCAGGGUGAACCAAGUUUCUACCUGUUUGGAUUCAUUAUGUAUUGCAACCAUAGCUGCGAGAGUGCUAAAGUAAGUUCUUCAAGGAAUUUUUCUAAUUUUUACAGUCCACCUUGGUCCAAGAUUCUACUUGGGCUCAUUGGCUCAAAACUUUGAAGCACCUGCUGAAGGAAGGUGCCAUCUGUAACUAAACGUAUUCAACUUCACACGAAGUAACGACCACUUCAGUUCAUUGACUCACCAGUUUCCCUUCGCUUCAGUCCCAUGGCGGUGGUGUUAAGAACACCGUGGAACUUUCCAGAAGGACAACGGAUCUGAAGGGCGACAGAACUUUAACAGUGGCGUUUGGGAGAAGGCUACUCACAAGGAGGUGUACGGUUCCGACAUAUGCCUUGAGGCUGAAGGUCGUUUGAAGACAGAAGUGAGACGCCUCACCAACAUUUCUCAGGCGGAUGAUUGUCAACGACUUGGAUAUGGAUGUUUUGGCUAAGGCGAGACUGGAAGGCUUUGAAGCUUGACAAAUGCUCAGGUUUCUCUCUACCGAUGGACUUUCAGCAUCGUUUAAACACUGCAGUUGAAGACCAUACAAAAAGGAAGAAGACUUUGUUGAGUAAGGAUCUCGGAAAAGUUGGGUUAAAUCAAUUUUUUCUAAGGAACUUGAACCCUUUAUUUUUAAAGUGUUUGAUAUUAGAGAUGAGCAAUAUUUUUGAUUUUGCGGACAUGAGUUAGGUGGAAUAGGGUAACAUUUUUUUUGACAUGGAUGAGACCAACAAUUAGUUAUUCAACUCACUAGCACAUCAUUUCUUCUGGCA